rnacentral:lncRNA from 1 species
CUCAUAGCCCCACAGAAUUGGUUUCCCAAAAUCGAUUACCGAACAUGCCGGAAGUUUCGAAAACAGCACCGGAACUUCACCGUCGCUCACCCGUCGUUUCCGAACCCUCGAAACGACGCGGGUGACCAGCCAACAAGGCUCAGCGACACUACAAUCAACCACGAGGCACCGUCGAAUGAAUUCCGAAUCGAAAACGCGUUCUAUCGGCGGAUUUCGCUGAAAAACGCUCCGGAAAUCACUUUUCGAUUUCCGCAAG